rnacentral:lncRNA from 1 species
GACCCCCUUCUCCUGGCAGAGCUCAAAUCCUUUGAUGAACGCUUCUUGGCCGAACUUAACGUUCAGGUCCCUCAUCUCCGCAGAGGCCUUAAACUCCUCCACCGCCAGAACCCUGGCCUCCGAGACCAGGACCGGGAUAUGCUCUGCCAAAUUUGUGACCUCGGCCUCCGCCUUCCUCGUCGUCUCCUCCGAGGUCUGCUUCUCUUUCUCCAGGGCAUGCUUUUCCUUCUCCAAGGCCUCUUGGAGGGUGGCUACCUCCACAACCUUUUCUUUGAGGCGGGCGACUUCGGCCCAA